rnacentral:rRNA from 1 species
CAGUCGCCGCGGUAAUACGUAGGGUGCAAGCGUUAAUCGGAAUUACUGGGCGUAAAGCGUGCGCAGGCGGUUAUAUAAGACAGAUGUGAAAUCCCCGGGCUCAACCUGUGAACUGCAUUUGUGACUGUAUAGCUAGAGUACGGCAGAGGGGGAUGGAAUUCCGCGUGUAGCAGUGAAAUGCGUAGAUAUGCGGAGGAACACCGAUGGCGAAGGCAAUCCCCUGGGCCUGUACUGACGCUCAUGCACGAAAGCGUGGGUAGCAAACAGGAUUAGAUACCCCCGUAGUCCCUGUCUCUUAUAC